rfam:Triticum aestivum genome assembly, contig: Triticum_aestivum_CS42_TGACv1_scaffold_146919_2BS
GAAAUACUCCCUCCGUCCGAAAAUACUUGUCAUCAAAAUGGACAGAAAGGGAUGUAUCUAGCACUAAAAUAUAUCUAGAUACAUCCUCUUUUAUUCAUUUUGAUGACAAGUAUUUCCGGACGGAGGGAGUAUUAA